CAAGAAGUAGUUUAGUUAGAACGUCAGCUUUGGGUGCGAAUGGGUGGGGAAA
rnacentral:tRNA from 1 species